GUUUUCUUUUUCUAGUGACUAAAUGUAGUUUUUCUGGAAAAACCUCAGGUUUUACAGAUGUUAUACAGAUGCAAUACAGAUGUUAAGUAAAUGUAAUUUGUUCUUGCAAUGUUCAUUCUUUUAUUCUAGAUGAAUGCUGACACAGAAAAGAACACUACAGGAACUUUCAAAACUACAAAGGAGGAAUUGGAGACAUCGGCAGCUAAUACUUUUUCACGGGGUCAUGGCUUCAGAGGUCGUGGUCGAGGGGGGCGCAUGGGGCGAGGCAGCAUGCGUGGGGGGCGAGGAGUAAUCAAAGGUUUUGGACCGCCUGGACGUGAGAGGGGACGAGGAAAGGACGGGGCCGUGAAUGGAUUUGGUUCCAUGAGGUGCUCUUUUUGCCAGAUAUGUAUAAUUCUUAGCAAAAGCUGAGAACGUUUUUAGGAAAGUCACCAGGAAUUAGUUUUUUAAGUUGUUAUCUAAGAGGCUUUGCAAAGAAGCUAAAGUCCAGAUGGCUUUUCAAAAAGAAAUGGCUUUGGAACCAUCCUAGAUGAAUGAGUCUUCAGACAUAUGUUGAGCAGUAACACAUUAAAGAUGUCACAUUGUUAAUAUCAAGUCCAGAAGUAGUUUGUGUGGUUUUUCUCCAGAUUCUUCAUUAGUAACUUUCUUUUUCAGAGGAUGACACUUUGUUCUCUUAUUCCUGCAGAGGAAUGGGAAGGAUGCAGCCAUACCCAGACAUGAGGGGCUGUAGAGGUCGGGGGGGACUUGUCGGUAUGGGUCCUCCUUUUCCUCCUCCUCCUCCUCCUCCCAUGCACAUCAGAGGCCCUUUGCCUCCCAUGCCUAGGCAUGGACCCCGUCCCCCGCCUCCUCCUUGUUUUCCUGGUUUUAGAGGUCCCCCGCCCCUCCCAGGAGGGAUGCGACCUGCCAGACCUCCGCGCCCUUUCCAUCCACGUGGCCCGAGAGGCUACCACAAAGGCCCGGUCCCUCCUCCUCUGCCUCACCCCCUACCUGGCCCACGCCAGAGGUGGCCAGGCCCCCGACGCUUUUUACACAGCCUGCCCCCCCCCCCCCCCCAAUCUAUAAAUAGGCACCCGCUAUUGUAAAAGGAGCCCUAAAGGGGUGCAGAGAAUGAAACAUCCCUGAAUACACAUAGAUUUUCAUAAAAUAGUCUGUGACCAAAUGCUCCUGGUAUUGUCAACAGAAAAUCAGGACAUGUAAAGACAACAAUAAAACAGAUGUUUUGUUCACAAUUUGAACAUUGUAAAGGCCUUCUCUGAGUCUGUAAAAUGUUUUUGGUUGACUCUGUUUAGGAAAAUAUUAAUGCAGGAUGUGAACUCUUAAAUGGGGGGGGGGGGGGGGGUUUUUUUCCAAGAAGUCAAUGUUUUGUGCUUCUUGUUACAGUCCCCCUUUUUGCCUUUAGGGUUUUUUUUUCCCCUGAUUUUCUAAACGGAUCAAAAUAUGAGUGACUUUGUCUGUUUUAAGGAUAAGAUGGGGGGUAAAG
rnacentral:lncRNA from 1 species